UACGUAGGGGGCGAGCGUUAUCCGGAUUUACUGGGCGUAAAGAGGGCGCGGGCGGCUCGGCAAGUCGGAUGUGAAAUUUCCCAGCUCAACUGGGAAGGGUCAUUCGAUACUGCCGGGCUAGAGGACAGCAGGGGGAGACGGAAUUCCCGGUGUAGUGGUGAAAUGCGUAGAUAUCGGGAGGAACACCAGUGGCGAAGGCGGUCUCCUGGGCUGUUACUGACGCUGAGGCCCAAAAGCGUGGGGAG
rnacentral:rRNA from 1 species